GCCUAGCCAUAAACUUUGAUGGUACCCUACAAAUACCAUCCGCCAGGGAACUACAAGCGCAUCGCUCGAAACCCAACGGACUUGGCGGUGCCCCACACCCACCUAGAGGAGCCUGUUCUAUAACUGACAAUCCCCGUUCAACCUCACCACUCCUAGCCUCUUCAGUCUAUAUACCACCGUCGCAAGCUCACCCUGUGAAGGAUUAACAGUAAGCAAGAUGGGCAAAGCCCAAAACGUCAGGUCGAGGUGUAGCACAUGGAGUGGGAAGAAAUGGGCUACAUUUUCUGUCUACAGAACACCACGAACAACGUCAUGAAACCUGUCGUUUAAAGGAGGAUUUAGCAGUAAAAAGAAAACAGAGAGUUCUUUUGAAACCGGCCCUGGGGCGCGC
rnacentral:rRNA from 1 species